rnacentral:rRNA from 1 species
CCCGGGCCUUGUACACACCGCCCGUCACGCCAUGGAAGCCGGUAGUGCCCGAAGUCCGUGAUCCAACCCUCGGGGGAAGCGGCCGAAGGCAAGAUCGGUGACUGGGGCG